rnacentral:rRNA from 1 species
GUCGAGAAUCUUUCACAAUGGGGGCAACCCUGAUGGAGCGACGCCGCGUGGAGGAUAAGGUCUUCGGAUUGUAAACUCCUGUCAUGCGUGAACAAGGUUGCUUGGUUAAUACCUGGGCGAAUUGAUGGUAACGCAAGAGGAAGAGACGGCUAACUCUGUGCCAGCAGCCGCGGUAAUACAGAGGUCUCAAGCGUUGUUCGGAAUCACUGGGCGUAAAGGGUGCGUAGGUGGCUUGGUAAGUCAGAUGUGAAAGCCCGGGGCUCAACCUCGGAACUGCAUCCGAUACUGCCAUGCUAGAGUACUGGAGAGGUGACUAGAAUUCUCGGUGUAGCAGUGAAAUGCGUAGAUAUCGAGAGGAAUACCAAAGGCGUAGGCAGGUCACUGGACAGUUACUGACACUGAGGCACGAAGGCCAGGGGAGCGAACGGGAUUAGAAACCCUGGUAGUCC